UGGGGAAUAUUGGACAAUGGGCGAAAGCCUGAUCCAGCCAUGCCGCGUGUGUGAAGAAGGUCUUCGGAUUGUAAAGCACUUUAAGUUGGGAGGAAGGGCAUUAACCUAAUACGUUAGUGUUUUGACGUUACCGACAGAAUAAGCACCGGCUAACUCUGUGCCAGCAGCCGCGGUAAUACAGAGGGUGCAAGCGUUAAUCGGAAUUACUGGGCGUAAAGCGCGCGUAGGUGGUUUGUUAAGUUGGAUGUGAAAUCCCCGGACUCAACCUGGGAACUGCAUUCAAAACUGACUGACUAGAGUAUGGUAGAGGGUGGUGGAAUUUCCUGUGUAGCGGUGAAAUGCGUAGAUAUAGGAAGGAACACCAGUGGCGAAGGCGACCACCUGGACUAAUACUGACACUGAGGUGCGAAAGCGUGGGGAGCAAACA
rnacentral:rRNA from 1 species